GUUGGGUUGGCCAAAAAGUUCUUUCAGGUCUUUCCAUAACAUCUUAUGGAAAAACUGGAAUGAGCUUUUUGGCCAACCCA
rnacentral:miRNA from 1 species